AGCGAACGCUGGCGGCAGGCCUAACACAUGCAAGUCGAACGAACUCUUCGGAGUUAGUGGCGGACGGGUGAGUAACACGUGGGAACGUGCCUUUAGGUUCGGAAUAACUCAGGGAAACUUGUGCUAAUACCGAAUGUGCCCUUCGGGGGAAAGAUUUAUCGCCUUUAGAGCGGCCCGCGUCUGAUUAGCUUGUUGGUGGGGUAAUGGCCCACCAAGGCGACGAUCAGUAGCUGGUCUGAGAGGAUGACCAGCCACAUUGGGACUGAGACACGGCCCAAACUCCUACGGGAGGCUGCAGUGGGGAAUCUUGCGCAAUGGGCGAAAGCCUGACGCAGCCAUGCCGCGUGGAUGAUGAAGGUCUUAGGAUUGUAAAAUCCUUUCACCGGUGAAGAUAAUGACUGUAGCCGGAGAAGAAGCCCCGGCUAACUUCGUGCCAGCAGCCGCGGUAAUAC
rnacentral:rRNA from 1 species